GACGAACGCUGGCGGCGUGCUUAACACAUGCAAGUCGAACGGAAAGGCCCUGCUUUUGUGGGGUGCUCGAGUGGCGAACGGGUGAGUAACACGUGAGUAACCUGCCCUGGACUUUGGGAUAACGUCAGGAAACUGGGGCUAAUACCGGAUAGGAGCUCCUGCUGCAUGGUGGGGGUUGGAAAGUUUCGGCGGUUGCGGAUGGACUCGCGGCUUAUCAGCUUGUUGGUGGGGUAGUGGCUUACCAAGGCUUUGACGGGUAGCCUGCCUGCGAGGGUGACCGGCCACAUUGGGACUGAGAUACGGCCCAGACUCCUACGGGGGGCAGAAGUGGGGAAUAUUGCACAAUGGGCGGGAGCCUGAUGCAGCAACGCCGCGUGCGGGAUGACGGCCUUCGGGUUGUAAACCGCUUUCGCCUGUGACGAAGCGUGAGUGACGGUAAUGGAUAAAGAAGCACCGGCUAACUACGUG
rnacentral:rRNA from 1 species